rnacentral:misc_RNA from 1 species
GAUGAAGAACGUAGCGAAAUGCGAUAAGUAGUGUGAAUUGCAGAAUUCAGUGAAUCAUCGAAUCUUUGAACGCACAUUGCGGCCAUAGGUAUUCCUUUGGCCAUGCCUGUUCGAGCGUCAUUUACACCCUCAAGCCUAGCUUGGUGUUGGGCGCCUGUCCCGCCGUUUUCGCGCGCGGACUCGCCUCAAAGUCAUUGGCGGCGGUCGUGCCGGCCCCCUCGCGCAGCACAUUUGCGCUUCUCGGAGGCCCGGCGGAUCCGCGCUCCAGCAAGACCUUUCACGACUUGACCUCGGAUCAGGUAGGGAUACCCGCUGAACUUAAGCAUAUCAAUAAGCAGAGGA